UGGCUGAGCCGCGGCCUCCAGCCGCGCCCACCCAGGCGGAGCGGGCCCGCUGGCCGUGGAAGGAGAAGCCCCGGGGGCAGAGUACAGGAGGCGGGGAAGUGCGGGGAGAAGCUGGGCAGGUCAGGGGAGGGUGAGGACGCCUCCCUGCCCGCGGCUGACGGCCGAGCGCCCCUGGGAGACCCAGGAAAACAGUGGCCGCCAACAUGGCCUCGGCCCCUCCUCAAUAACAUCUUCAACUGCGGACGCUGCGGAGGACGGGGGUCAGCCAGGGCGGGGGUGGCGCCACGCGAGGAGCCGCCACCUCUGAGAGGGGUGGAGAGGUCGGGCAGCGCACGCAGGUGAGAACCCGGAGCCCCCGCCCAGAUGGGGUGUCCCUGUAUUCCCAGAAUGUGUCUUGCAAAAGGGCAACCUCCACCCGCCCGCCAGAGCCCCCCAUCUGGUUCCAGAAAUGCCCAGUAAGGACAGUCCUCCUGUCAAAGAAGCGCCUUGUAGAGCCCGAAUAUCCUCCCCACGGCCCACACGGGCUCACACCCCGCACCUGAUGCAUACGCCCGCGGUGUCAGCCCAGCCUCCGAUAUUUUAUUAGUAAUGCCAGGAAGCAGAAAGUAAAUUAUUUUAAUAAAAGAAAGACCAAGUACUUGUCACCUCGUCGUGUUGAAGAAAUCCUCUAGCCCGGGAUGGAGCCAGCCUGCCCAGGGUGUCAGGUAGAGUGUACCAAUGAUGUUCCUGAUGCUGGUUUUCAUGGAAAGUCUUGUAGAGUUAUCCUUUCAGAAGGCUCAGGUAACCGCACCAGGAUGAAGUCCAGAUCCCAGCACCUCUUAACAAGUUUCUGUCAUGGACUGUGCAUAUGUGGGGAUGGACCCAACUUACAUUUCUGGAGGACUGUAGUGCAAGGAGGGGAUUGAUACCGGAAUUGUCAGGCCUAGUCUCCCAGCCAGGAACAGAUCCCAGGCUGCAGGGCAGCGCUGAGCCCCAGCCACUGGACCCCCACGGGUUGGUGUCUCACGAAGCCGCAGCAGGAACUUCGCAGACGCUCAGGCAAGCAAGCGAGAAGAGGCAGAUUUGUUUAUAGAAAGAAAAAGUUUAUUGAGGAGAAAAAGAGCAGAAAUAAAGUGGGACUCCCAGGCCAGGGAACCAGGCCUGGGAGGGGCAAGGAAGCCAAAGUGGAGUCGUGUCUCAGGGAAUAUAUACCUUAUUUCCCUCAUUAUUCUAAAGUUCCACCAGUCUCUUUGUGAUUGCUUAGUUCUCGGCUGUCUCACUUAAUCUGCUACUGAGUGGGGAUCUUUACUUUCCUUAUCUAACAGCUUUUUCUUUCCCCAUUUGUUGCAUCUUUAAAUUUAUGGCCCAGUCUUCUGGAUGGGCAUCCCUGCAUUGAAGUUAAACAGCUGCCCUUCUAAUGUGUCCAUAAAUUAAACCACUCUCCAUUUCUCCAAUCUCCGCCUCCCUUUACCACCUGAAGGAAACCAGGACUAGCAUUAACAAUGUUGUCCUUGGUCUUGGGAUGUUUGUUUUUCCUAGUGGAAUGAGUUACUUUCCCUUGGUUGUCCUUAUCUCUGAAGCCUCCCCAAAUUCUUCAGAGGUCCCCUCCUGCACUGUCCCUGAAACUGCCUAACAACCCUAGCUUGCCCUGUCUCAGGAUGAAAUAACACAUUCAGAAUAGAGAUAAAAUAUACGGGUCACAAAUAUCCUAACCUGCAGGAUUCUCCUACAGAGACAAGAGAGUAAAAAUGUUCUUCCCAAACAAAAGCUGAAGAAGUGGUCCACUAACAAAUCUUCCCUGAAAGAAAUGUUUAAAAGAGAUCCCUUGUAUAAUUUAAAGAGAAAAGAAAAAAAAAAAGAAAAAAGAAAAAGCUGAGCAGGGAAGUAGAACCAGACAACUAAAGUGAAAGUGGCAGUAGAAGAUCCUCUAUAGAGCUCAACAAUCCAAAGGCAGAGAGAGGCCAUCCAAAGGCAGAGAGAGGCCAGCCAAGAUUGCACAGUCCCCAGGAGACCCGUCUGAGCCCCCAAAAUAAACACAGGCUCCUGGCUCAAGGCUGAAUAUUACACCAAACCACAGGACAGACACAGGGAUGUCAGAGUCUGGGCCAAAGUGUAUUGUGCUGCACCAUGAUGUGCAAUGAGAAACAUUCUAUGUGGAGCCGAGAGCCUUCAUUUUUCUCACAAUGUAUUUUGAAUAGCAGCUGCUUUGUAAUGUUUGCACUAGGAUCCAUUUCCAGAUCUGCAGGUAAAUGAUGUUUUAGUCGUGCUUUUAUUUAAUUUUUUUAAGAUUUAUUUAUUUUUAUACAAGAACCAGGGUACAGGCCAGAUGCACUGGAGGGUGAGAGGAUUCACCAGAGACAGAGCGGGGAACAGAACAGGCAGACUGACGAAAUAUACACUGCUGAAGGGAGCAGCAGGCAAGACAGGAGAGGUCUGUUGCGCCAUGUGGGAGUCUCGCCAGCCGACCAGGAUUGAACCGGCGCUGCAGAGGCUGCGGACAGCCUCACAGUGCGGCGCUCAACCACCUGUGCCACCAGGAAGGCCAAUUUUUACUUAUUUUUUUAAACAGAUUUCUUUACUUAUGAACAUAAGAGCUGGGGUGCAGCCAGAGGUGCGGGGGUGGGGGUAAGGGGAUUCACCAGAGACAGAGUGGGGAACAGAACAGGUGGACUGUCUGCAAUCCACUGCUGAGGGGAGCAGCGGGGAGACAGGAGAGGUCUGCGGCACCCUGCGGGUCACCUUCCCGGCUGGGGAUGUGAUGUUGGCACCAGAUGACGUGACGAGUCCCUUCAUGGUCGCCAAAAUGUUGUAGGUUGUAGAGUGUGUGCGGGUCCCGGGGGUCACUCUGGGAAAGGUGCCCCCAGAGCUCCCAUUACAGCAGGACACAGCGAGUUCCCCAGCCACGUUUCUCCACGAGACAGAGACACUAGUUACAUUAAAGGGCAGAUUUAGGGCCUCCCCUGCUGGCACAGCGGUUGAGCGCUGGGCUGAGGGGCUGCCCGCAGCCUCUGCAGCGCCUGUUCGUUCCCUGGCCGCUGGCGAGGGUCCCACAAAAAAACAAAACCAAAAACAGGGCAGGUUUAUGAGGGAAAGGGAAAGGGACAGGUUUUGCUGAAAGAGGCCUGCAUGGUUGCAGGCGGGCGGCCUUGACAGGUCACGGCAGGCAGGAGGCUGCUGCCCUGCGGAGGGAGAGAGUUGGUGAGAAGAGGCACCUGCAUAGUCACGGGUGGGCAGAUGGACGGCUGCCCCGAGCCCGUGCAGAGACUGCCCUGAUACAGCCCUUUUCUCUUUGGGAGGGUCACUCCUCCGUGGAGUGGCUGCUUGUUGCUGAUGUCGGUUAACAGGCAACACUAGAAAGGGACCAGAGAUUCCAGGGUGGGCCCAAUCUCCAUAUCCUUCCCCUCAGGCCUGUGCGCCACUCCCUAGCGCAUCGGAUCCUGCUCACGUCUCCUGCCUUGUGACAAGGCACUGGCGUCUAAGGGUCCAACCUCCACAGCUGGGUUAAUGGUCCUGUUAUUCCCCUCGACCCCCACCUCCUCGCGUGAGUCAGGUUUUCGUCACGUGAGGCCUCCCUUUCCAGUCUUUCCAUUCUUGCCCUCCAUCAGAUGGAACACGUGCAGCAGAGGCUGCAGAUGGCUUCACAGUGCUGUGCUUAAUCCCUGCGCCAUCAGAGAGGCCCCACGCCUUGCUUUUAUGUCAGCUUCAGGGUCUGGCUGCGGCAGACACUGUCGGUGAAAGGCUGGAAGUCCUGGAGCUUGCAACAGACCUGCCUGUGCCUUCUGCCCCAGCCCGCCUGCCCCAGCCCACUGUGACCUGCUGAGACAGGGCAAGCUAGGGUUAUUAGGCAGUUUUAGGGACAGUGCAGGAGGGGACCUCUGAGGAAUUUAGGGAGGCUUCAGAGAUAAGGACAACCAAAGAAAUAUAACCAAUUCCAUUAGGAAAAACAAACAUGCCAGGACCAAGGACAACAUUGUUAAUGCUGGUCCUGGUUUCCUUCAGGUGGUAAAGGGAGGCGGAGAUUGGAGAAAUGGAGAGUGGUUUAAUUUAUGGUCACAUUAGAAGGGCAGCUGUUUAACUUCAAUGCAGGGAUGCCCAUCCAGAAGACUGGGCCAUAAAUUUAAAGAUGCAACAAAUGGGGAAAGAGAAAGCUGUUAGAUAAGGAACGUGAAGAUCCCCCUACUCAGUAGCAAAUUAAGUAAGACAGCCGAGAGCUAACCAAUCACAAAGAGACUGGGGCAGCUUUAGAAUAAUGAGGGAAAAAAGGUAUAUAUUCCCUAAGACACGACUCCACUUUGGCUUCCUUGCCCCUCCCAGGCCUGGUUCCCUGGCCUGGGAGUCCCACUUUAUUUCUGUUCUUUUUCUCCUCAAUAAACUUUUUCUUUUUCUAAACAAACUGCCUCUUCUCGCUUGCUUGCCUGAGCGUCUGCGAAGUUCCUGCUGCGGCUUCGUGAGACACCAACCCGUCGGGGGUCUAGCGGCUGGGGCUCAGCACUGCCCUGCAGCCUGGAAUCCGUUCCUGGCUGGGAGACUAGACCUGACAAUUCCGGUAUCAUUGCUCAUUAGCUGGAGUUAUGUUGGGACAAGGCCUGGGGGUGGACUAAAAGUUUCAGGAAGUGACUGGCCAGGAGCCUGACUUGUGCCCCCCAGAUGACCAGGUGAGCUCUUAGAAGUCUCCUGCUUCUCUACUCCCUGCUUGCUUCAAGUUGCAAAUGUGCCCCUGCUGGGGCCAUGGGUACUCUGUCGCCCAAUGGCUCAGGGCUCAGACUUUGGAAAAAGAUCACCUCUGGGCCUGCGGGAUAAAUAAAGAUGAAAUUUUUCCAUAACCUCUCACAAUCUAAAAAUCAAAAGGUAGAAGGUCCUAACUCUAAAUGCAAAUAAAGCGAGAUGUGUUAAGAAUUGUAUAUAAAACAGGGCCUCCCUUGGUGGUGUAGGCGGUUGAGCACAGCGCUGUGAAGCUGUCUACAGCCUCUGCAGCACCAGUUCGAUCCCAGCUGGCCAGAGAAGGUUCCACAUAUGGCACAGCAGACCUCUCGUGUCAUGCCCGCUGCUCCCCUCAGAGUGCAUUUCAGUCAGUCAGUCUGCCUGUUCUGUUCCCCACUCUGUCUCUGAUGAAUCCUCUCACCCCCCACAUCUCUGGCCUGUACCCCAGUUCUUGUGUGCAUAAAUAAGUAAAUCUUAAAAGAUUAUUUAUGCACUCAAGAACUGGGUUGUAAGCCAGACAUGGGCGUUGUGUUAGAGAGGUUUCACCAGAGACAGAGUUGGGGGCAGAACAGACAAACUGACUGAAACACACUGCUGAGGGGCGCAGCCGGGAGACAGGAGGGGUCUGCGCGUCAUGUGGGCUGCUCCAAGGCCGGCGGGAUUGACCCGGCGCUGCGGAGGCUGCGGACAGCUCCACAGGCUGCGCCCAACCCACUGCGCCACUGGGGAGGCCCUAAAAUACAUUUUCAAUGGAAAUAGUAAUUUUAAUUUUGGAAAUGACCUAAGGAAAUGCUUUCAAAUUCUGAUAAAUCUGUAUGUGUAACAAUGUUCAAUAACACUUUAUUUACAGUAAAAUGAUUCAAAACUAUCCAAAUAAAACCCCCCAAUAUACACAAAAUUAAAUGUAAAAGCUAGAUACAGUAACACUGAACAGUCUUUAAUGGCGUGGAAAGUCCUUAUGUUAGUGUUAAAUGUUGAAAGUGGAGAAUCCUGGCAGUGCUGUGAUCCCACCACAGAAGAAACAUAUUAAUGACACACCCUCUCCUUACCCC